GACGAACCGUGCGAACGUUGUUCGGAAUCACUGGGCUUAAAGGGCGCGUAGGCGGGUUCCCAAGUCCGGGGUGAAAUCUUUCGGCUUAACCGGAAAAUAGCCUCGGAUACUGGGAGUCUUGAGGGAGGUAGGGGCAGCUGGAACUUCCGGUGGAGCGGUGAAAUGCGUUGAUAUCGGAAGGAACGCCGGUGGCGAAAGCGGCGUUCUGGACUGCUACUGACACUGAUGAACGAAAGCCAGGGGAGCAAACGGG
rnacentral:rRNA from 1 species